GACGAACGCUGGCGGCGUGCUUAACACAUGCAAGUCGAACGGAAAGGCCCUUCGGGGUACUCGAGUGGCGAACGGGUGAGUAACACGUGGGUGAUCUGCCCUGCACUUUGGGAUAAGCCUGGGAAACUGGGUCUAAUACCGAAUAUGAUCAUCGGCUUCAUGGUCGGUGGUGGAAAGCUUUUGCGGUGUGGGAUGGGCCCGCGGCCUAUCAGCUUGUUGGUGGGGUAAUGGCCUACCAAGGCGACGACGGGUAGCCGGCCUGAGAGGGUGACCGGCCACACUGGGACUGAGAUACGGCCCAGACUCCUACGGGAGGCAGCAGUGGGGAAUAUUGCACAAUGGGCGCAAGCCUGAUGCAGCGACGCCGCGUGAGGGAUGACGGCCUUCGGGUUGUAAACCUCUUUCAGCACAGACGAAGCGCAAGUGACGGUAUGUGCAGAAGAAGGACCGGCCAA
rnacentral:rRNA from 1 species